CCUACGGGAGGCAGCAGUGAGGAAUAUUGGUCAAUGGGCUUACGCCUGAACCAGCCAAGUCGCGUGAGGGAAGACUGCCCUAUGGGUUGUAAACCUCUUUUGUCAGGGAGCAAUUGGCGCUACGUGUAGCGUUAUCGAGAGUACCUGAAGAAAAAGCAUCGGCUAACUCCGUGCCAGCAGCCGCGGUAAUACGGAGGAUGCGAGCGUUAUCCGGAUUUAUUGGGUUUAAAGGGUGCGCAGGCGGAAGAUCAAGUCAGCGGUAAAAUUGAGAGGCUCAACCUCGUCGAGCCGUUGAAACUGGUUGUCUUGAGUGAGUGAGAAGUAUGCGGAAUGCGUGGUGUAGCGGUGAAAUGCAUAGAUAUCACGCAGAACUCCGAUUGCGAAGGCAGCAUACCGGCGCUCAACUGACGCUCAUGCACGAAAGUGUGGGGAUCGAACAGGAUUAGAUACCCGUGUAGUC
rnacentral:rRNA from 1 species